AGAGCGCAGGGAGGAUGCCUUGGCAUCAGGAGCCGAAGAAGGACGUGGUAAGCUGCGAAAAGCUACGGGGAUUGGCAAGCACGAUAUGAUCCGUAGAUAUCCGAAUGGAGCAAUCCACAUGGAGUCAAGUCCAUGUAUCAUAUACUGAAUAAAUAGGUAUAUGAGGGGAACCGCCCGAACUGAAACAUCUAAGUAGGGCGAGGAAAAGAAAUCAACCGAGAUUCUGUGAGUAGUGGCGAGCGAAAGCGGAAGAGGCUAAACCGAGAGGAGCAAUCCUUUCGGGGUUUAGGACUGCAUUUAGUACAAUGAUUGUUAACCGAACAGCAUGGGAAGGCUGAUCAAAGAAGGUGAGAAUCCUGUAGGUGAAAACGAAAGUUGACGAGCAGUAUCCAAAGUACCGCGGGGCACGUGAAAUCCCGUGGGAAGAUGGGGGGACCAUCCUCCAAGCCUAAAUACUACCUGAUGACCGAUAGCGAAUAGUACUGUGAAGGAAAGGUGAAAAGCACCCCGGGAGGGGAGUGAAAGAGAACCUGAAACCCUGUGCUUACAAGCACUUAGAGCACGUCAAAGUGUGAUAAGGUACCUAUUGUAGAAUGGUCCGGCGAGUUAUUGUAUGCAGCGAGGUUAAGUAGUUCAGCUACGGAGCCGAAGUGAGAGCGAGUGUUAACAGCACGUUCAGUUGCAUGCAAUAGACCCGAAACCGGGUGACCUAUCCAUGUCCAGGAUGAAGUGAGGGUAAAACCUCAUGGAGGUCCGAACCCACUCCCGUUGAAAUGGUAGGGGAUGAGGUGUGGAUAGCGGAGAAAUUCCAAUCGAACCCGGAUAUAGCUGGUUCUCCCCGAAAUAGUUUUAGGACUAGCCUCGUGAUUAAGAUUAUCGGAGGUAAAGCACUGAAUGGCCUAGGGGUCGAGAGAUUACCGAAGCCUAUCAAACUCUGAAUGCCGAAUAAUCAUGCACGGGAGUCAGACUGUGUGAGAUAAGUUUCAUAGUCGAAAGGGAAACAGCCCAGACCUACAGCUAAGGUCCCAAAGUACGUUUAAGUGGAAAACGAUGUGAAAUUGCGUAGACAACCAGGAUGUUGGCUUAGAAGCAGCCAUACAUUAAAAGAGUGCGUAAUAGCUCACUGGUCGAGUGACUUUGCGCGGAAAAUUUAACGGGGCUAAAACGUACACCGAAGCUUAGGCUUGUCACAAUGUGACAGGGGUAGGGGAGCGUUGAAUGAGGGGUGAAGUCGUAGCGAAAGCGACGGUGGACUUCAUUCAAGUGAGAAUGCCGGAAUGAGUAGCGAGAAUUAUGUGAGAAUCAUAAUGGCCGAAAGCCUAAGGUUUUUGGAGGAAGGUUCGUCCGCUCCAAGUAAGUCGGAAGCUAAGGUGAGGCUGAAAAGCGUAGCCGAUGCACAAACGGUUGAAAUUCCGUUACCACAGAAAGAUUUAAACUAAGGGACACUUUUGAAGAGCUGAUGCCGGGUGUUGGUUACCCCGGUCGUAAGGGAACGAAAUUAAGUAGUGAAGUCAGCGUGGAUGAAGGCGAGAAAAGCUUAGUGUAUAUCUUAUGUGUCCGUACCGCAAACCGACACAGGUAGGUAGGAAGAGAAUUCUAAGGCCAACGGGAGAAGGGUAGUUAAGGAACUCGGCAAAAUGUCCCCGUAACUUCGGAAUAAGGGGAGGUUUCUACGGAAACCCGCAGAGAAUAGUCCCAGGCAACUGUUUAUCAAAAACACAGCUCUAUGCUAAAUCGAAAGAUGACGUAUAUGGGGUGACGCCUGCCCGGUGCCGGAAGGUUAAGAGGAGGAGUGAGAGCCCUGAAUCGAAGCCCCGGUAAACGGCGGCCGUAACUAUAACGGUCCUAAGGUAGCGAAAUUCCUUGUCAGGUAAGUUCUGACCCGCACGAAUGGCGUAAUGAUCUGGGCACUGUCUCAACAGCCCGCCCGGCGAAAUUGUAGUACCGGUGAAGAUGCCGGUUACCCGCGACUAGACGGAAAGACCCCAUGGAGCUUUACUGUAGCUUAAUAUUGGAUUUCGGCAUUUCAUGUACAGGAUAGGUGGGAGACUAGGAAACAUAGGCGUCAGCUUAUGCGGAGUCGUCCUUGGGAUACCACUCUUGGAGUGCUGAAAUUCUAACCUGCAGCCCUGAAUCGGGUUGGGGGACAUUGUUAGGUGGGCAGUUUGACUGGGGCGGUCGCCUCCAAAAAGGUAACGGAGGCGCUCAAAGGUU
rnacentral:rRNA from 1 species